rnacentral:lncRNA from 10 species
GUGAUCUGAAAAGGUAUGAAACCAAGGAGGCAAGGCACACUCGGGAUUGCACAGGCUCAUCCCCUCCUCUUGCCUGAGAUUAGAAGGGCGGGGGUAAAGGCAGGACAUCCAGAGGCAUCCAGCCAGGAUCUUAGCUCCAGUAAAGCCAAGGAAUGAAUGAAUGGCCACAGGCUACUCUGCAGGGCACUCACAGCCUCGCCUUCACCAAGCUUCCAGGGCCUUCUCCAAAGCACCAUAUUCAAGCACUGGAUGCUGCUUGGACAUAUCAAUUGAGGUCCCAGAGAAAUCAGUAUGGGGAGAAGAAGGACUUGGAAUCACACAAACAUGGGUCCGAACCCUGCUUGCCCUUCCCAGCUGGGUAAACUCCAGAUGGACAUGGUGGUGUGCGCCUGCAACU